GUGAACAUAACAUGGUCCAGGAAGAGGAUGCGACAGUGCCGGCAGUGGAAGGAGCGCACAGGCCGACCAUCCGUGUCUAACACCUGCACAGUCUCCCUGGAAGAAAGGGUACAUUCUACUGAAGACUAUUUCCUCUGAGCUUCAGAGAAGGGGGCCGUUCUAAUGAAUAUCCGCUUCUAUUGCUUACUGUACCCUUGUUUCAUACAUUAUGUUAUGGAACAACUGCAUCCAUCAAGUUCAAGAACUUAUUAGAUGUCCAGCCAGGGCAUCUCUCCGGCGACAAGCAUAGUUGCAAACGGGACAUUUAAAAGGCUUCUCUCCCGAAUGCAACUUGAUGUGGCGCAACAAGUUCCCCUUCUGGGUGAAGGAAGCUCCACACUGGUUACACUGGAACGGCCUCUCGCCUGGGAAAACAUGGAUGGACAGAGGAUUUUAGAGUGUACUCUGCACUCCCUUCUUCCAUGGGGUCCCCUCUGUCAUACAUCCUGCUAUCGUCCCUCACAGCCUCUCUGAUCUCUGGCCGUGGAGCACCUGGGGACUCAUCAUCGC